GACAUCCAGAGAACUUUCCAGAGAUGGAUUGGUGCCUUCGGGAACUCUGAGACAGGUGCUGCAUGGCUGUCGUCAGCUCGUGUUGUGAAAUGUUGGGUUAAGUCCGCAACGAGCGCAACCCCUAUCCUUUGUUGCCAGCGAUUCGGUCGGGAACUCAAAGGAGACUGCCGGUGAUAAACCGGAGGAAGGUGGGGAUGACGUCAAGUCAUCAUGGCCCUUACGAGUAGGGCUACACACGUGCUACAAUGGCGUAUACAAAGAGAAGCGACCUCGCGAGAGCAAGCGGACCUCAUAAAGUACGUCGUAGUCCGGAUUGGAGUCUGCAACUCGACUCCAUGAAGUCGGAAUCGCUAGUAAUCGUAGAUCAGAAUGCUACGGUGAAUACGUUCCCGGGCCUUGUACACACCGCCCGUCACACCAUGGGAGUGGGUUGCAAAAGAAGUAGAUAGCUUAACCUUCGGGAGGGCGUUUACCACUUUGUGAUUCAUGACUGGGGUGAAGUCGUAACAAGGUAAGCGUAGCGAG
rnacentral:rRNA from 1 species